rnacentral:snRNA from 1 species
GUAGUUACCUGUGAGGGAAAAUGGUAUCGUGAAGGUCGUUUUUCCGAAGUGAGGUUUUUCUAUUGUGUGUACGGAUCCUUGUGAUUUUCCUACAUGUAGAAAAUUCCAUUGCAUAAUUUGUAGUAGUGGGAGGGGCUGCGUUAGUGAAUUCCGCUG